AAAGCAAGAGAAGAGUUUGUGAAUAUCUCUGAUUAAGUGAAAACAUCUGUGCAUGUUGGAAAUGGAAGAGAAACUAAACAAGAUUAUGAAUGAAGCAUUGUCUUGCGGGAAGAUAUGAGUCUUCUGAAACACUGGUGCAUGCUUCCAGUAUUUCUUGAUGCUUGAAGCAGUAAGUUGAUAAAUCCAUCAAUGUUUGAUUGCCAGUGAGUGCUUCCUUGACUUCAGUUUUGGCACGUCAAUACAUAGACUACAGUCACGUGCAUAAGUACAGACUGAGCUUUUGUAUCAGAAAAGAGAGAAGAAUGAAAAUGGUCAUUAAAGCAAAGAGAAGAGGAGCUUCAAUUUAUAUAUUUUUGAUUUCUUCUUUUUUUAAGAUGAAAGGAGGUAUGAGUUGCAGUGUUGGUUGAUGAUUCAUGAUCUGCCAAACACAGCUUGAUUAAAAAGAGAACAAAAAAAACCCUAACACCACGUUUUAGCUUUCGAAAUAUGGAAAAGGAAGGAAAUGUAGAGUAGCUGAAAAAAAAGAAAAAAAAAAAAACACCAGCAGAGGUUUUGUACAGAUUUGUCUGUUUUUUCAGUUGAAGACAGAGAAAACCUGAUAAAUAUAGAUGAAAAACUUAAGUAUCACAUGUUAGUCUAACUAGCAUAGUCUCUGCAAAUAAAUCUUGCAGUGAAGCUAGUUGGUCUUUGGAUAGAUGUCAAGACAUGGAUGUUUUUGAUCUAGAAGUCUAAUUUGGUUCUGUACAUCUUUUGUGUGCUUUGACUUCCAUAAAGUAAACUGUUGGAAUAGAUGAAAUGCCAGUGUAUGUGAAGAAACCUAAAAAAUCUGUAUGUGGAAUACAGUUGCUGUAUUUCAGUG